rnacentral:lncRNA from 1 species
GGCAAAUUUUGUCCUUGCUUCCUACACUGGGGGCUAUUUUCAUAUAAUUUAUUUUAUAUUAAAAGGUUUAAUGCCCAAUGAUGUUUGCAAAUCUAUAGUAGAGUGUUGCUGUCUGAACCAUUAAACAUGUUUAUGUAAAUCAUCCAGCUACAUUGUAAUAAUGACUUAUCAUUACAUCAUAAAGAAUUAUGUAAUAUGAAAAAACAUUCUAAAUAAAAUGACCUCAAUGUGAUUAAAUCUUAAGCAAAAGUCACUAUGAAAUGCAUAGUUACUCUUAAUGAGCUUUUAUGAAGUCCCUUUGACCUCCUUGGUAAACUAGAUUCCCACAGGAACUAAGAAUGUGUAUAGCACACAGGAAAGAGGUGCUCAGAUGCCCCUUUGGCAACCUGGUAAAGGCUAUACAUCUCUUCUCAGAAUAA